GAUGAACGCUGGCGGCGUGCCUAACACAUGCAAGUCGAGCGAUUCUCUUCGGAGAAGAGCGGCGGACGGGUGAGUAACGCGUGGGUAACCUGCCCUGUACACACGGAUAACAUACCGAAAGGUAUGCUAAUACGAGAUAAUAUACUUUUAUCGCAUGGUAGAAGUAUCAAAGCUUUUGCGGUACAGGAUGGACCCGCGUCUGAUUAGCUAGUUGGUAAGGUAACGGCUUACCAAGGCGACGAUCAGUAGCCGACCUGAGAGGGUGAUCGGCCACAUUGGAACUGAGACACGGUCCAA
rnacentral:rRNA from 1 species